GAUGAACGCUGGCGGCGUGCCUAACACAUGCAAGUCGAGCGAGCCCUUCGGGGUGAGCGGCGGACGGGUGAGUAACGCGUGGGUAACCUGCCCUAUACACACGGAUAACGUACCGAAAGGUACGCUAAUACGGGAUAAAGUUGUUGGAUGGCAUCUUCUAACAAUCAAAGCUCUGGCGGUAUAGGAUGGACCCGCGUCUGAUUAGCUAGUUGGUGAGGUAAUGGCUCACCAAGGCGACGAUCAGUAGCCGACCUGAGAGGGUGAUCGGCCACACUGGAACUGAGACACGGUCCAGACUCCUACGGGGGGCAGCAGUGGGGAAUAUUGCACAAUGGGCGAAAGCCUGAUGCAGCAACGCCGCGUGAGCGAUGAAGGUCUUCGGAUCGUAAAGCUCUGUCCUCAAGGAAGAUAAUGACGGUACUUGAGGAGGAAGCCCCGGCUAACUACGUGCCAGCCGCCGCCGUAA
rnacentral:rRNA from 1 species